rnacentral:rRNA from 1 species
CCUACGGGGGGCAGCAGUGGGGAAUAUUGGACAAUGGGCGAAAGCCUGAUCCAGCCAUGCCGCGUGUGUGAAGAAGGCCUUCGGGUUGUAUAGCACUUUCAGUGGGGAAGAAAGCCUUGGGGCUAAUACCCUCGAGGAAGGACAUCACCCACAGAAGAAGCACCGGCUAACUCCGUGCCAGCAGCCGCGGUAAUACGGAGGGUGCGAGCGUUAAUCGGAAUUACUGGGCGUAAAGCGCGCGUAGGCGGUCUGAUAAGCCGGUUGUGAAAGCCCCGGGCUCAACCUGGGAACGGCAUCCGGAACUGUCAGGCUAGAGUGCAGGAGAGGAAGGUAGAAUUCCCGGUGUAGCAGUGAAAUGCGUAGAGAUCGGGAGGAAUACCAGUGGCGAAGGCGGCCUUCUGGACUGACACUGACGCUGAGGUGCGAAAGCGUGGGUAGCAAACAGGAUUAGAUACCCUAGUAGUC